GUCGACUCUUAUAUUUCUCUAUUGAGUCGCUAGUGAUCUACUUUCCCUAUCACUUCUUUCUUCUUCAAGAUUUGCAUCUGCCCCUCCUUCUUUUGAUUUGAUCAAAUCUCUUUGAUAAUUAUCUUGAUUGGAUCAGCUGCCCUUUCUUCAGAUCUGUAUGAGAAACAUCUUGAUUGUACCAGGUACUUUAUAUUUAUUUAUGUUCUAGUUACUAUCAUUUGAAGUUUGCUAGUUUUAUUUGCUUCUUUAACAUAUUGAUAAAUAUUUAUAUUUAUUUAUCUUGCUAGGUUUUUUUGAAGUUUGAUAGUUUUAUUAUUGCUAGUUUGAAGUUUGCUAGUUAAUAAACUUGAAGAAAAUUUUAUUAUUUUAUUUCAGAUCGAGAGGUAUAGUCAUAUUAUGAAUGAGACCCAUAUCCUCUAACAAACUUGCAUGCUUGAUGAAGCCUUUAAUAGAUCUCUUUAAUCUAUGUUUGAAAGGAGAACAUCUCUGAUUAAUCACUGACAGACAGUGAUCUCUCUGCUUUGUCUCACUUAUCUGCAAUCAAAGUUGGCAUCAUUUGGUGCCUGUUCUGAUUCAAGCAAGUCUUUAGGAGAAAUUCUUCUCAGUCAAGGUACUUAGCUUAUAUUUAUUUUCUUUUCAUUGAUUCUAAGUUUUCAUUUGAUUCUUCCAAAUUUUUGUUUCUAUAAUGGUAAUGAUGCUUUGACAAGUAUUAUUUACCUGGCAAACACAAAUAACAAAUUCACUCCUCUGUUCAUUAGUACCCAUGCAUAAAUAAUAGUUUGCAGAAUAAAGUUUCCCAUGUUCCCUUUGGAAUUUUUCCCAUAACAAAUAGAUAAAUAGAGAAUAUUUUGAAUUAUUCAUCUUGUAAAUGAAUAAGAAACAUGUGGAAUAAGAUCAUGAAACUAUGAUGUAACACAGCUCAUACUCAGCCGAACCCUUAAAUGACACAUCACUUAUAUUUUGCUAUUUUACCCUGUAAAUAAGUUUGGUAAUGCAUUCUUCACUCUUCUAUACCCACGAAAAAUUUUUAACUUGGUCGUGCUUCAGUAUUGCUUCUUGUUCUAACUCCCAAAUAAAAUCUUUGACUUAAAACUUGCAAUGCCUUGGACAGAAAUUGGUUCUUCCUUCCCAUUUUUUUUGGCAGACCUCUAUUAACGUGCAUUACUUACAUGAUUCUGAUUGUCUGUAGGACAAACAAAAAUGGGAAGACCGAAAGAUCAAAUGUUUUGGGAGUACGUUGAGGGGAUUGGUAAUCAUUUGAAGUGUAAAUUCUGCGGAAAUGUAUUCAAGGGGAGUCCUUCAAUUUCAAGGAUCAAAUCUCAUUUAGCAGGAAUUCCAGGGCAGGGCAUUCAAAUUUGCGAUAGUGUGCCUGAUGAUGUCAAAGAAGCAGCUCUUGAAGCAAUCCAAGGAGCAAACAAAAGACGUAAAACUAUGAGGAGUUCAAGCAACAAUGAGGUGUACAAUCCAAUUUCAAGGCAACAAAAUCAUGAAGUGGAAGACGAAGAAAGGAUGCAAAUGGAAGUUCAGGACAUUGAACAACAAGUGGGGGAAGCUGGAACUUCUUUUCUUCUUGAAAUGGAAGAUAAUGUAGAGGACCAUGUUGGACAAUCUUUGCAAUUUGUUGAGACCAAAGGAGAGAAGUUGUUGACAACAAAGUUAAAGGGUGAGGAGUUUGAAACACAUAUAAAAGAGAUCUGUUCUUGUUUAAGGGAUGAUGAUAAUGUCUCAAAGGUUGGCAUUUAUGGGAUGGGGGGAGUGGGUAAAACUGAAUUGGCGAAACAUGUUAAUAAUGAACUUUUAAGAACUCCCAGCCCAUUUCAUUAUGUUUAUUGGGUUACUGUGUCGCCAGAUUUUAGCAUCCAUAAAUUGCAAGACACCAUUGCAAGAAUGGUGAAUCUAGACCUUUCAAGUGUGGAUGAUAAGCAUAUAAGAGCAGCCAGAUUAUUCGAGGUGUUGAAGGAUAAAAAUUUUGUUUUAAUUUUGGAUGAUAUGUGGAAUUAUGUUCCCCUUGAAAUGGUAGGAAUUCCUGAUAACAUGAAAAGAUGCAAGUUGGUUCUCACAACUCGAUCUUUAAAUGUGUGUCGAAAGAUGGAUUGCCAGAAGAACAUCAAAGUAAAGGGGGAAAUUACCGUAGAAGGGUGCCGUGAGAACGAAAAUACGGAAAAAGGGUCGAUAAUCCAAAUUUUACCGAAACGGGGUGGGGAGAAAAUAAAAACGCUAGUCAAGAAAGCGUUUUAGAGUGGGCUGCUAUCAACAAUCGCGUGCAGAGAGCAACCAAGCCAGGACGCUAGUCAAAGACGCGUCCCACCUGCCAAAACGCUAACACCAGAAGCGUCCCAGCCUGCAGUCCCAGCGAACCAGCCUGCACUCCCAGCCUGCACGCUAACAACAAAAGCGUCCCAGCUUGCACGCUAACAAUAGAAGCGUCCCAGCCUGCACAGCGUCCAACUCUCCUGCACGCUAACAACAGAAGCGUCCAGCAGCAACAGAAGCCAUCCAGCAAUAUUCUCUGCAUCAACCAGUCCAGCAAUAUUCUCUGCAUCAACCAGCCCCGUCGCCUGCGUGUUGGUCAUGCAGCCCCGUCGUGCAGCCCCGUCUCCUGCAUCCCGUGCCCGUGGCGUCCCGUCGUGUCCUGUCAAGGCUCCACAGUGGACGCUUCUCAAACUAGCGUCCCAAGCUCCCACUGAUUUAAGCACCACUACCUCUCUCGUCUCUCUCAUUCGUCCCUCUCUUUUACUCCCUUUCUUCUCCCAUUGAGCUGCUUCUCCCUUCUCGCGGAACUGGUUGUUGAAGCAGGUGGUGAAGGUGUUCGGUGGUGUGCAUCCUGGAAUUGGGCCAUCAAAUAAUGCCUAGUCUAAAAGAGAUUGCAGAUUCCAUUUUAUUUCAAUGCGAGGGCUUGCCACUUGGGAUUAAAGUAAUGGCAAGAAACAUGAAGCAAGUGGAUGACAUACAUGAAUGGAGUAAUGCAUUGGACAAAUUAAGAAGAUCAAUACCAGAGCAAGAGAAUUUGGAGAUAUUCAACGAAUUGAAACGUAGCUAUGAUUAUUUGAAUGAUCCAACUUUACAACAAUGUUUCUUAUAUUGUGCAUUAUAUCAAGGAAGUUGGUAUGGUAUAAGAAAAGGAAUGAUCGAGUUAUUGAUUGAUGUGGGAGUAAUAGAAGGAGAAAGCAGGAGAGAAGAAUUCAAUGAGGGCCGUACCAUACUCAACAAACUUCUAAAUCUUUGCUUGUUAGAAAAAGAAGAAGAUACUUACACAGUGAAGAUGCAUAAAUUGCUUAAAAAUAUGGCCAUCCAAAUAAUGAACGCAGAUGCACGAGUAAUUGUUAAAAAUGAUGAAGAGUUAUCUGAAAUGCCAGAGUGGGGAAACUGGUCAAAAGAUCUUGUCAGAAUUUCAUUGAGUUAUAAUGAUAUACGUAAGAUUCCUUCCGGUUAUUCACCCAGCUGUCCUAAUCUUUCAACUGUUUUGUUGGGUUUCAAUGAUAAUUUGAGCUUCAUUGGAUAUUCUUUCUUCAAGCAAUUGCAUGGUCUCAAGAUGCUUGAUCUUUCUUGGACUGCUAUUGAAAAAUUGCCAACGUCGAUCUCUCAUUUGGUGAAUCUAAGCGCAUUAUUACUUAGGGACUGUAAAAAAUUAAGGCAUGUACCGUCAUUAGCAGCGCUUAGGGCAUUGAAGAGGUUGGAUCUCUAUGGUUCUGGAGU
rnacentral:misc_RNA from 1 species